AUUGAACGCUGGCGGCAGGCCUAACACAUGCAAGUCGAGCGAGAGGCGGACGGGUGAGUAAUGCAUGGGAAUUGCCCAGUCGAGGGGGAUAACAGUUGGAAACGACUGCUAAUACCGCAUACGAUGGGAGUGCCAAGGUGGGAUUUGCUAGUUGGUGAGGUAGUGGCUCACCAAGGCGACGAUCCCUAGCUGGUCGGAGAGGAUGGUAAGCCCCCCUGGAACUGAGACACGGUCCAGUCUCCUACGGUAGGCAGCAGUGGGGAAUAUUGCACAAUGGGGGAAACCCUGAUGCAGCCAUGCCGCGUGUCUGAAGAAGGCCUUGCGGUUGUAAAGCACUUUCAGUGAGGAGGCGGUACUCGAAGAAGAAGCACCGGCUAACUCCGUGCCAGCAGCCGCGGUAAUAC
rnacentral:rRNA from 1 species